rnacentral:antisense_RNA from 1 species
CAUAUCCAAAAAUAACGGCUGCAUUAACCGUAGGACUUAGAAUUCUUCUAACAUCACCACCACCUGGAGCCCAAGUGUCAUAAACUCCGAUAUAUAAGGCUUUUAAUACAAGUAAAAAAGCACCUAUACCUAAAAGAAUUAAAUGAAUACCUAAGAUAGUUGUCAUUUUGUUCUUAUCACGCCA